AAAAUUUUGCUCUUUUAGUAUUUGUCUAGCACAGUCUUGUAAUAUUGAAGACCCCA
ensembl:snRNA U7 U7 small nuclear RNA